rnacentral:rRNA from 1 species
UACGUAGGGGGCAAGCGUUGUCCGGAUUUAUUGGGCGUAAAGAGCUCGUAGGCGGCUCGGUAAGUCAGGUGUGAAAACUCUAGGCUCAACCUAGAGACGCCACCUGAUACUGCUGUGGCUAGAGUCCGGUAGGGGAGCAUGGAAUUCCUGGUGUAGCGGUGAAAUUCGUAGAUAUUGGGAAGAACACCGAUGGCGAAGGCAGCCAUCUGGACCGACACUGACGCUGAGGCGCGAAAGCGUGGGGAGCAAACAGG